GGGGAUUUAGCUAAGCGGCAUAAGCACCUGCCUUGCAAGCAUGUGGUGGUGAGUUCGAUCCCCA
rfam:Cavia porcellus supercont2_8 genomic scaffold, whole genome shotgun sequence.